rnacentral:rRNA from 1 species
AGUGAACGCUGGCGGUAGGCCUAACACAUGCAAGUCGAACGGCAGCACAGUAAGAGCUUGCUCUUACGGGUGGCGAGUGGCGGACGGGUGAGGAAUACAUCGGAAUCUACUUUUUCGUGGGGGAUAACGUAGGGAAACUUACGCUAAUACCGCAUACGACCUACGGGUGAAAGCAGGGGAUCUUCGGACCUUGCGCGAUUGAAUGAGCCGAUGUCGGAUUAGCUAGUUGGCGGGGUAAAGGCCCACCAAGGCGAGGAUCCGUAGCUGGUCUGAGAGGAUGGUCAGCCACACUGGAACUGAGACACGGUCCAGACUCCUACGGGAGGCAGCAGUGGGGAAUAUUGGACAAUGGGCGCAAGCCUGAUCCAGCCAUACCGCGUGGGUGAAGAAGGCCUUCGGGUUGUAAAGCCCUUUUGUUGGGAAAGAAAAGCAGCAGGUUAAUACCCCGCUGUUCUGACGGUACCCAAAGAAUAAGCACCGGCUAACUUCGUG